rnacentral:rRNA from 1 species
GAUGAACGCUGGCGGCGUGCCUAAUACAUGCAAGUCGAGCGAACAGACGAGGAGCUUGCUCCUCUGACGUUAGCGGCGGACGGGUGAGUAACACGUGGAUAACCUACCUAUAAGACUGGGAUAACUUAGGGAAACCGGAGCUAAUACCGGAUAAUAUAUUGAACCGCAUGGUUCAAUAGUGAAAGACGGUUUUGCUGUCACUUAUAGAUGGAUCCGCGCCGCAUUAGCUAGUUGGUAAGGUAACGGCUUACCAAGGCAACGAUGCGUAGCCGACCUGAGAGGGUGAUCGGCCACACUGGAACUGAGACACGGUCCAGACUCCUACGGGAGGCAGCAGUAGGGAAUCUUCCGCAAUGGGCGAAAGCCUGACGGAGCAACGCCGCGUGAGUGAUGAAGGUCUUCGGAUCGUAAAACUCUGUUAUUAGGGAAGAACAAAUGUGUAAGUAACUAUGCACGUCUUGACGGUACCUAAUCAGAAAGCCGCGGCUAACUACGUG